UGAACAAGAAAUGGUGCUGCCUCAUGUCUGGGCCAAGAAGACCCGAGACUUGUCUCAGAAGUGACUGCAGCUCUAGAGUAGCGUGGAAAGUGUCCAGAAAUUGCCAAUGAAUCUCUUUAGAGGGCUCAGAGAUGGCAGUUGGUGAACCAGGAAAAGUCUCACAGUCAGGAAAAGGCAAUGUCAAGCCAGAAAGUGACGUGGAACAUAUGACAAAACACUCUUGGGAUUUCAGUGAACGAAAAACAUUGAGUGCUGACUAUGUGCCGGAUACAUCACACUAGUCAGUCACAAUUCUAGUCACAUGAGAUACAGUAAUGGGAAGAAAAAGAGAUUUAAAAAAAUCUCUGCUUCCAUGAAACAUUUUGCUGAUAGAGAGUGGAGGGAGAGGAAUGAAUGGAAAAUAGACAAUAAAGGAAUACUCAAGAAGCUGGGUCACUUUAAAUGCUCUGAGUGAAAUAGCAUGUAGGAGUCAAGGGAGAAGCAGAGAUAGCAGUCAAGAAGCUAUUGCAAUCAUCCAGGCAGCAUGACUCAAUUUUGGCUAUUUUAUGGAUAUUCAGGAUGAUAAUGACAAGAUGAAUUCCAUUAUCUUAAAGGGAAAGAAGCAGAAGGAGAAGUACAAAGGGGAAAUGGAAACCUUACCCAAGAUCAAGAAGCUGUAAAAUGACAGAGAAGCAGCACUCACUUCGUUAAGCAUCAGUUGUUGGGAGUAGAACACCAAAGAGCAUCAGAGCUUGAAAACACAUUCAGUAUCACUACUUCAACACACCUGUUAGCAGGGAAGCCGACCUAAAGGCUGGAAGCCAAUUCUCAAAAAUCACUCAGAUGGUAAGGAAGCCUCUAUA